GAUGAAGAACGCAGCGAAAUGCGAUAAGUAAUGUGAAUUGCAGAAUUCAGUGAAUCAUCGAAUCUUUGAACGCACAUUGCGCCCACCAGUAUUCUGGCGGGCAUGCCUGUCCGAGCGUCAUUUCAACCAUCAAGCCCCGGGCUUGUGUUGGGGACCUGCGUCCGACGCAGGCCCUGAAAACCAGUGGCGGGCUCGCUGUCCACACCGAGCGUAGUAACUAACCUCGCUAUGGAGUGGCGCGGGCGCCUGCCGUAAAACCCCCAAUUUUUACAAGGUUGACCUCGGAUCAGGUAGGAAUACCCGCUGAACUUAAGCAUAUCAAAAGCGGAGGA
rnacentral:misc_RNA from 1 species